rnacentral:ribozyme from 11 species
UGAAAUAAAUAACAAUGAGUAAUUAUGAGGAUAGAGUGCUCAUAUUGAUUUUCGUGUUUUGGCCCUUUAUUUCUUUCCUUCUCCUUGUUUUCCAUACUCUUUCUAGUUCUCUUUCUGCGUGUCUUUACAUAUUUACAUAAUCAAAUGGAAUCAAACGAAUGAAUAUCAUUGAAAAAGAGUCAAGUACCGCACACUUCUUCUUCUACUUCCUCCUCCUCCUUUUUUAUCUAAUCUCUUAUGAGCUAA